rnacentral:rRNA from 1 species
CCUACGGGUGGCAGCAGUGGGGAAUAUUGCACAAUGGGGGAAACCCUGAUGCAGCGACGCCGCGUGAAGGAUGAAGGAUUUCGGUACGUAAACUUCUAUCAGCAGGGAAGAAAAUGAGGGUAAGUGACUAAGCAGCCCUGGCUAACUACGUGCCAGCAGCCGCGGUAUUACGACGGGGGCAAGCGUUAUCCGGAAUUAAUGGGUGUAAAGUGAGCGUAGACGGUAUGGCAAGUCUGAUGUGAAAACCCAGGGCUCAACCCCGGGACGGCAUUGGAAACUGUAGAACUUGAGUGUAGGAGAGGCAAGUGGAAUUCCUUGUGUAGCGGUGAAAUGCGUAGAGAUAUGGAGGAACACCAGUGGCGAAGGCGACUUGCUGGACGGUAACUGACGUUGAGGCGCGAAAGCGUGGGGAGCAAACAGGAUUAGAUACCCGAGUAGUC